AUAUCAAUAAGCGGAGGAAAAGAAACUAACAAGGAUUCCCCUAGUAACUGCGAGUGAAGCGGGAAAAGCUCAAAUUUAAAAUCUGGCGGUUAUGCCGUCCGAGUUGUAAUCUGGAGAAGCGUUUUCCGUGUUGGACCGUGUACAAGUCUCUUGGAACAGAGCGUCAUAGAGGGUGAGAAUCCCGUCUUUGACACGGACUACCAAUGCUUUGUGAUACGCUCUCAAAGAGUCGAGUUGUUUGGGAAUGCAGCUCAAAAUGGGUGGUAAAUGCCAUCUAAAGCUAAAUAUUGGCGAGAGACCGAUAGCGAACAAGUACCGUGAGGGAAAGAUGAAAAGCACUUUGGAAAGAGAGUUAAACAGUACGUGAAAUUGUUGAAAGGGAAACGCUUGAAGUCAGUCGCGUUGUCUGGGACUCAGCCUUGCUUCUGCAUGGUGUAUUUCCUAGUUAACGGGCCAACAUCGAUUUUGGUCGGUGGAUAAAGUCAAGAGGAAUGUGGCACCCUCGGGUGUGUUAUAGCCUCUUGUCGGAUGCAUCGACUGGGAUCGAGGAUCGCAGCACGCCUUUUUGGCCGGGGUUUUUGCCCACGUAACGUGCUUAGGAUGUUGGCAUAAUGGCUUUAAUCGACCCGUCUUGAAACACGGACCAAGGAGUCUAACAUGCCCGCGAGUGUUAGGGUGGAAAACCCUUGCGCGUAAUGAAAGUGAAAGUUGGGACCUCUGUCAUGGGGGGCACCGACGCCCGGCCUUGAACUUCUGUGACGGCGCCGCGGUAGAGCGUGUAUGUUGGGACCCGAAAGAUGGUGAACUAUGCCUGAAUAGGGCGAAGCCAGAGGAAACUCUGGUGGAGGCUCGUAGCGAUUCUGACGUGCAAAUCGAUCGUCAAAUUUGGGUAUAGGGGCGAAAGACUAAUCGAACCAUCUAGUAGCUGGUUCCUG
rnacentral:rRNA from 1 species